rnacentral:rRNA from 1 species
AGCUCCAAUAGCGUAUAUUAAAGUUGUUGCGGUUAAAAAGCUCGUAGUUGGAUUUCUGCCGAGGACAGUCGGUCCGCCCUUGCGGGUGAGUAUCUGAAUGGCCCUUGGCAUCUUCUCUGAAAGUUUUCCUGCACUUCAUUGUGUGGGGAGGUUUUCGGGACCUUUACUUUGAGGAAAUUAGAGUGUUUCAGGCAUGCGCUUGUGGUGAAUACAUUAGCAUGGAAUAAUAAGAUAGGACUCGUGGCCUACUUUGUUGGUUCGUGUGCCAUAGGUAAUGAUUAAUAGGGAUAGUUGGGGGCAUUCGUAUUUAAUUGUCAGAGGUGAAAUUCUUGGAUUUGUUAAAGACGAACUACUGCGAAAGCAUUUGCCAAGGAUGUUUUCAUUG